AAGGGCUGGUGACGCGCAUGCGCUUUCUGAAGCAAAGGUGCUUUAGGAACAUGUCGUGAGAAUCGUGUGACUAGUAUUCUGAAAAGAAGACCUCAUGCAAAGGAUUCCAAAAUAAAGGGGCUGCUGUGAAGGAGGCCUAAUUCUUUUCCCCUUAACAUCUUUCAGGAGAGGAUUUUUAGCCUGCAUAGAGUGGAAGGAUAGACCAUGUUUCCAAGGUUGCCGUUCUGGAACCUGGGAUUUCUGACCUCUGGAAUUCAGCUAUAUAGGAGUAAUAUACUCCUCAGUAUACUCAGCAAAACUGCACUACUACUCAGCAAAAGAUUUUCAAAGCAGUUCUACAGAGUAAAGCUAAGCAACAACAAAAUUAAGGAUAUCUUAAUUUUGUGUUUUGUUUCAUUUUGUUUUGUUUUUCCUCUCAAUAAAACAAAAUCUUACUUUCUA